ACGGACUUAAACAAGCACCAAGGUGCUGGA
rnacentral:piRNA from 1 species